UUAAUUCCGCGCUCUCCACUGGAUCUUCACUGGAUUCGAAAAAAUAUGUUGUUUUCUCCCGGGUCAGUCAAGACUAUUUGCGGCGGACAAUAAUGGAUCAUUCCCCCAUAGGGGCCAUUCGUCAGCCCUCAUUUCUGGCAAAAAACAAGCUCCAAGGAACUGUCCCGUUCCUUAACAAAGCCAGUUAUCAGUCAGAUAUAAAAAGAAUGUCCAGUCGAACUUGAGCCAUCAUUUGCGCGCAAUUUCCCAUAACAAAGAGCCGCCUCCACAACCCUCCAGAAAAAUAUGUUUCAGCGCCAACAACUGACCAUGGUUCUGUGCCUACUAAUGAUCCUGAUGGGAAAACACUUGGCCAAAUCAUCUUUCGACACGUGCAUUACGUAAGUAACAAUUUAUUAUCAAAUACACAGGCUAAGAGAAGCGUGCUCACUCUCAUUUGCGGAAAACUGCGAUUUAGAAUACGAAUCUCUCGUCCACUAAACUCGUCUGCUUCUUAGUUGGUUAAACAAAAUUAAAAAAAAUAAAAAAUGAAAAAUAAAAAAAAAUAAAAAAUAAAAAAAAUAAAAAAUUAAAGUUGUCAUCUUCCGCUUCUCUCUUUCUCUUUACUAUUCUUCUCUUCUCUCUUGCUCGUUCGCCAGUAGUUCUCUUUGCGUCCCAAAAUCGGACGGGGAAAUGGUGCUUUGGUUCCCAAUAUUGGUCGAGGGCCUGCGGGCGUUGAAAGCUGUCGCACUGAUCGCCUGGAGUACCUGCAAUUUUCCCCGAGUUUUCACGUAAAUCUAUGUGAGUUUAGUGCAGAGUUGAUCUACCUGGAGAGGGUGAGGAUGUGGCCGAGUUGCUGUCCGCUUUGGAGGGCGACGUAAAGAGGUGGGCAUCCGGGUUCAGCUUGCACGGGAUCGACUUCUAAGAGCACACGCUGAUUGACAUCGCACAAAUGACAACGUUUUCCCGAUAACCAUGGAAAUUUGCUAGGGUUCCUGGGCUCUUCUGAGGGCUGCAAUUCCCUAGCAACAGGAACUGUUUGUUUCAGGAACUGUGUGCAGUGCAAACAGAUGUACGGGCAUCGAUUCGCAGGGAAAAUGUGUGGCGACACCUGCAUAGCCAGCAACGGGGAGUUUUUGCUGGAUUGCAACAAUCCAGGAAUGAUCCAUGACUACCUGAAGCGCCUCUAUAAAAAAUAGCGAUUCACUCGACGUCUGCACUCGCGAAAUUAGUCGUAGGACACGGUGCGAUUCAAGGCAAAUCCCCCGGUCUCUUUCGCUGCUGAUAAACCUACGAAGCACU